UGUGAUAAGAUUGAGUAGCUUAGUGCAUGUUAAGUUUAGAGGGUUUGAGGGGAAAGCUAAGGAGUUUUCUUCGGGAAAUGGAGAGUAGAAGAUUGGAGAAUGAAUGAGAGGGGAGUGUGAAAAAAAAGGAAGGGUAGAGGUGGCGCUAAGGGAUCAACGAAGCUGUGAAGACUAAUAUGCUUGGUAACUAUGAUGGAGGGAGGAAGGGGGAGAGGAAAGGAGAGGAGAACAGUACACAAUCUUAAUCAAUAGUUAGUUGAAUUAUUUCAUGGAAUGUAAGGGGUAUCA
rnacentral:lncRNA from 1 species